AUUCUAUGCCCACAUUCCUUUAUAAGCUAAACAGCUCAAGCAUGAUUUUGGAGAUGAACUACAAAGAUGUCACUUGAACAAGAACACUCAAGGAGUCAGGGAUCCCUACCAUGAGAAAAAAAAAUUUCAGGAAAACCGUGGAAACACAAUGCCGAUAAUAUCGCCCAUGCUUCAAAAAGAUCGACUUCAGCAGAGAAAUAAUGACUUGAGUGUCUUAGAAGAGGUACUAAGUUUAAAUGGCAUAUUUAGCCUAGGAAUUUAUCCAACCAUCCAUCCAAUGAGCACUUACUAUGCACUCUCCAAAGACAUUAAGGUAAAUAAGUAAUCAUUCCUACACUCAAGUAAGGAGACAAUCAGACAACACUGAAAAGGACAAGAGUUCUGAAAAGUAUAGAAAUAGUGCCAGAAGAAAUUAAAGAAAAUGAUAAAUUACCU
rnacentral:lncRNA from 1 species